UUGUAGCCGAUGUUCCACAGGAGCGGUC
rnacentral:sRNA from 1 species